AUGAAAAUUCUUCCAAUCGGUUGUGUUUCCAGUUCUCUAACGGCUGAAUUUAUGGAGGAGGGAAAUCAGUGGGCACUUUGUUCCUGUGAAAUAAAUCUGGGGCAGUACUACUGCUGCAGAAGCAUCAUAUCUGUAGAUGCUUUGAAACUUCACCUAGUGGGAGUUCUUUUUCCUUGUAUACCAGUAGUCAAACCUGAAAGUAAUGAGAUGCUUAGAUCUCGUCCACAUCCAAUGCCAAGUUUUUCCCAUAAGAUGCUUAAGAGGUACAAUUCCUGCUCUACAUGGAAUUCUUUUGGAGUUGAGUUGCAGUGUGGUCUACUGAGGACUACAACACCAUUGACAUGCCAUUGUUCUACUAAGGUUGGGUAUAAUGCUGGCAUGAUACUGAAGGGAAAUUGCUCUUGUCUUGCAAUGGUAUUUACUUGGACUUCUCAGGGAGCACAGAUGGAUAGGAAAAAUGUUUUGGUGGCACAGUCUGACUUCCAGUUUUGCACCCUGGGAAAUGACAGCAUGCAAGUCUGUGUUGGUGAGCUGCUGAUUGAUGGUUUCUUGCAAGACAUGAUUAGCUCAUGUCUCAGUUUAUCGGUCUCUAAAAAUUUUCAAUGCACAAUUUCAUUGAAGAUACUUGAUGCAACACAUAUGGACUCCAGUUUGAUUUGUUUGCUGGAAGAUAUUGAGUACAGACUUGUACCAUUGUCACACUCUAUUCCUCAUGGUCACUAUGUUGGGGUGAUACAUGACCUUGAUGUUCUGAAUCCAUGGCCACCACCACUAUACUUGAAUAUUCUGGCGCUCAGUUCCUUCAGAAGGGUUCCCUCUUAUGCGUCCGAACAAAUUCAAUGGAAAAUUGCUGCUGAUAUUUUCAAGAAAUUGUUGCCUCUCAGCAUGGGUGAGGAAAUCCUUCCAGCCAACUUGAUUGCCGUCUGCUAUAACAUUGUUGGUGUUUCUGUUUGGUCCAUGUUUGCUACAAUAUUCAAACAAAAAGAGGCUUGUUUUGUUGAGCACUUCAUGACAAAGUGCGUCGAUUUGGGCUUUUCUCCUAGUGCCACUCUAGCACAUUUGCAGAUAUGGCAAGAUGGUUUUGUUUCUUUGUUCAGUUCCAAGGAGGCAAUGGAUCAAUCGUGGGUUUCCUAUUGUCAAAGAGUUUGCUCUAUUUCAGCUUGGUGGCGAGACAAUUUGGAUAGUGUAAAUGAUGCUUGCUGGAAGAGUGCUCUUGAUGUAAUCCAGGUGACAUGGGACCCAGGAAGUUCAACACGACAUCGACUUGAGGACGAAACUGCAAAAUGGGUUCAGUAUGCUUUAUCGACUCCAUGGGAUCCCGGUGGCGCUAUUAAACAUCAACUUGGGGGCAAGUCGAAUCUUAUGGGGGAGGGAUUGUCAGCGACCUGGGCCUCACUGGGCCACAGCCAGGACCCAACCCACAAGGAAGACAUGGACUACAUAUACAAGGGGGGCAGCUACACGCGACUUGGCUUGGACGAAACGGGCGGCUUCGGCCGAGGCUUGGCUCUGUUCUUCAUCUCCCUCCUCCUGUAG
rnacentral:rRNA from 1 species